rfam:Triticum aestivum genome assembly, contig: Triticum_aestivum_CS42_TGACv1_scaffold_210628_3AS
CAAAUACUCCCUCCGUCCGGAAAUACUUGUCAUCAAAAUGGAUAAAAGGAAAUGUAUCUAGACGUAUUUUAGUUUUAGAUACAUCUCUUUUUAUCCAUUUUGAUGGCAAGUAUUUUUGGACGGAGGGAGUAGAAA